AUUGAACGCUGGCGGCAUGCCUUACACAUGCAAGUCGAACGGUAACAGGUCUUCGGAUGCUGACGAGUGGCGAACGGGUGCGUAAUACAUCGGAACGUGCCCGAUCGUGGGGGAUAACGAGGCGAAAGCUUUGCUAAUACCGCAUACGAUCUACGGAUGAAAGCGGGGGAUCUUCGGACCUCGCGCGGACGGAGCGGCCGAUGGCAGAUUAGGUAGUUGGCGGGAUAAAAGCUUACCAAGCCGACGAUCUGUAGCUGGUCUGAGAGGAUGAUCAGCCACACUGGGACUGAGACACGGCCCAGACUCCUACGGGAGGCAGCAGUGGGGAAUUUUGGACAAAGGGCGAAAGCCUGAUCCAGCCAUGCCGCGUGCAGGAUGAAGGCCUUCGGGUUGUAAACUGCUUUUGUACGGAACGAAAAGCCUCUUUCUAAUAAAGAGGGGUCAUGACGGUACCGUAAGAAUAAGCACCGGCUAACUACGUG
rnacentral:rRNA from 1 species